rnacentral:lncRNA from 1 species
AACACGUUACCUCUUGGUUACAUGGCAAUAACUUUAGUAGUUAAUAGUAUGUACAACUAAUCACUUCUUAGAAUCAUACACAGCGCCUCAAAUCCCAUACGAGCUGGAAUCAGCUAGUUAAUAUACAACACCAGAUUAAUUAAUACUGUGAUUGUUGAUCUACCCCGUAAAACUUUCACUAAUACAAAAGACAACUCCUACAUUCUUGCUCGCUAUAAAAAUAAAAAUAAAAAAUAAGCGAUCUACGGUUAGUAAUAAAGAAUCUGAAUCGACAGAUGCUGGACUCAGAUUAGAUCCAUUUUCCAGAAGAAAAUCCGGUUUUCUUUGGAGGAACUUUCAAGCCAAGUUCUUUACAUUGCUCUUCAUCAGGCUGUGGGCUCAGAAAUCCUGUCCCAACAAAGUGUACUAAGGCUGAUGCAUCCUCGAGUUUUCUUGUGAAACUCAAUGAUGCCAAGGAAAGAGGAGCUGAUGUAGUCUUUGAUUG